rnacentral:rRNA from 1 species
GAUGAACGCUGGCGGCGUGCUUAAUACAUGCAAGUCGAGCGAACGGACGAGAAGCUUGCUUUUUUGAUGUUAGCGGCGGACGGGUGAGUAACACGUGGAUAACCUACCUAUAAGACUGGGAUAACCGCGGGAAACCGGAGCUAAUACCGGAUAAUAUUUUGAACCGCAUUGUUCAAAAGGGAAAGACGGUUUUGCUGUCACUGAUAGAUGGAUCCGCGCUGCAUUAGCUAGUUGGUAAGGUAACGGCUUAGCAAGGCAACGAUGCAUAGCCGACCUGAGAGGGUGGUCGGCCACACUAGAAGUGGAACACGGUCCAGACUACUACGGGAGGCAGGAGUAGGGAAUCGUCCGCAAUGGGCGAAAGCCUGGCGGAACGACGCCGCGUGAGUGAUGAAAGUCUUCGGUUCGUGAAGCUCUGUUAUUAGGGAAGAACAUAUGUGUAAGUAACUGUGCACAUCUUGACGGUACCUGAUCAAGAAGCCACGGCUAACUACGUG